GGACUACCAGGGUUUCUAAUCCUGUUUGCUCCCCACGCUUUCGCACCUCAGCGUCAAUACCGGUCCAGUGAGCCGCCUUCGCCACUGGUGUUCUUCCGAAUAUCUACGAAUUUCACCUCUACACUCGGAAUUCCACUCACCUCUCCCGGAUUCAAGCGAUGCAGUCUUAAAGGCAAUUCCGGGGUUGAGCCCCGGGCUUUCACCUCUAACUUACAAAGCCGCCUACGUGCGCUUUACGCCCAGUAAUUCCGAACAACGCUAGCUCCCUCCGUAUUACCGCGGCUGCUGGCAC
rnacentral:rRNA from 1 species